ACGGGUGAGAAAUGCCUAGGAAAUUGCCCUGAUGUGGGGGAUAACCAUUGGAAACGAUGGCUAAUACCGCAUGAUGCCUACGGGCCAAAGAGGGGGACCUUCGGGCCUCUCGCGUCAGGAUAUGCCUAGGUGGGAUUAGCUAGUUGGUGAGGUAAGGGCUCACCAAGGCGACGAUCCCUAGCUGGUCUGAGAGGAUGAUCAGCCACACUGGAACUGAGAGCCGGUCCAGACUCCUACGGGAGGCAGCAGUGGGGAAUAUUGCACAAUGGGCGCAAGCCUGAUGCAGCCAUCCCGCGUGUGUGAAGAAGGCCUUCGGGUUGCAAAGCACUUUCAGUCGUGACGAAGGUGGUAGUGUUAAUAUUCCUAUCAUUUGACGUUAGCGACAGAAGAAGCACCGGCUAACUCCGUGCCAGCAGCCGCGGUAAUACGGAGGGUGCGAGCGUUAAUCGGAAUUACUGGGCGUAAAGCGCAUGCAGGUGGUUUGUUAAGUCAGAUGUGUU
rnacentral:rRNA from 1 species